rnacentral:rRNA from 1 species
ACUCCUACGGGAGGCAGCAGUAGGGAAUAUUGCGCAAUGGGGGAAACCCUGACGCAGCAAUGCCGCGUGAGUGAGGAAGGUUUUCGGAUUGUAAAACUCUGUCCUAGGGGAAGAAUGAUAUUAUGGUUAAUACCCAUAGUAAGUGACGGUACCCUAGAAGAAAGCACCGGCUAACUCCGUGCCAGCAGCCGCGGUAAUACGGAGGGUGCAAGCGUUGUUCGGAUUUAUUGGGCGUAAAGCGCGCGCAGGCGGACUUAUAAGCCAGAUGUGAAAUCUCGGGGCUCAACCCCGAAACUGCGUCUGGAACUGUGAGUCUAGAAUGUCAUAGGGGGCAGGGGAAUUUCACGUGUAGGGGUAAAAUCCGUAGAGAUGUGAAGGAACACCAGAGGCGAAGGCGCCUGCCUGGAUGAAUAUUGACGCUGAGGCGCGAAAGCGUGGGGAGCAAACAGGAUUAGAUACCCUGGUAGGCUCUGC